rnacentral:rRNA from 1 species
GUGGGGAAUAUUGGGCAAUGGGCGAAAGCCUGACCCAGCAACGCCGCGUGAAGGAAGAAGGUUUUCGGAUCGUAAACUUCUAUCCUUGGUGAAGAUAAUGACGGUAGCCAAGAAGGAAGCCCCGGCUAACUACGUGCCAGCAGCCGCGGUAAUACGUAGGGGGCAAGCGUUGUCCGGAAUGAUUGGGCGUAAAGGGCGCGUAGGCGGCCCGGUAAGUCUGAAGUGAAAGUCCUGCUUUUAAGGUGGGAAUUGCUUUGGAUACUGUCGGGCUUGAGUGCAGGAGAGGUAAGCGGAAUUCCCGGUGUAGCGGUGAAAUGCGUAGAGAUCGGGAGGAACACCAGUGGCGAAGGCGGCUUACUGGACUGUAACUGACGCUGAGGCGCGAAAGUGUGGGGAGCAAACAGGAUUAGAAACCCUUUAGUCC